GGAGAGAUGGCCGAGAGGUCUAAGGCACUUGACUCGAAAUCAAGCGUGGGGGCAACUCCACCGUGGGUUCGAAUCCCACUCUCUCCG
rnacentral:tRNA from 1 species